rnacentral:rRNA from 1 species
GACUGUGCUAAGGUAGCAUAAUAAUUUGCCUCUUAAUUGGAGGCUGGAAUGAAUGGGUUAACUUGAGCUUGACUGUCUCUUUUUAGACUACAAAACUUUAGUUUUAAGUAAAAACGCUUAAAUUCCCUAGAGGGACGAGAAGACCCUUCAGAUCUUCCCCAGUGGGUGUGAGCUGUUACUCCGCCUUAAGGGUUACCUGGGAGGGGGUUUAAAUGAUAAACUUUAAAAUAAAUAAAAGACUUUAAGGUUAUUUAUUGUCUAAUUUGUUGAUCCUUAUUGGAUAGGUUGAAAAGAUACCUGAGGGAUAACAGCGUAA